rnacentral:lncRNA from 1 species
AGAAGGACAUGCCGAGGUGGGGUUCUAAUGUGCCUAAUUUGGAAGAGUGGGAAGCGUUAAAACAUCAAGCCGAGGACAAGUCGAAUUCCAAUUCAAGGAUCCUUCCUUUGAGGGACUUAAACCUGAACGUUGUUUCUCAAGAAGGUCACUUAGAAGAUGGUUCAGCGAAACAGAAAAGUGAAACUUCCUCGGAUCAAGUAAGCCUAAGAAAUAUUAGCCUAAGAAAUAUCAACCUAAGAAAAAGGAGAUAAAUAUUGAAGGGAAGAUCAUGGUGGCUGCUGGAAUUGAUGCAUCCCAAGGAUAAGUUGAUGGCGACGAGGGUGAUUGGAUUCUUACUGUCAGCCGAAGUACUCAUAGGAGAUUUCUAAGAAGGAAAGCUAGACGUGAGUUCUAUGACACAUUAUCUAGUAAUCAAGAUCAGCAAGAUUUGGAAGAAAAUGUCGAUGAUGUUACUGAA